CGGCAUCCUUUUCUGCUUGAGACACCUGCUGAAGCUGGAAGUACAUGCUUUCUUAUUCCUCUCUUUUCUCCUUAUGGUACAAGGAUGAUUAUACUUGGUAAGGAAAUGUUGGUUUUCUCAUCCAAUUCAGAUAAUCUCGUUUCCAUUUGAUCACACGUGCUUCAUACAUCACAUGGAUAGUAUGUAUGAAUCCUAAAAAGAUCUAAUUGAACAUCGUCAUUUAAUUAAUACAUGUCGGUCAUUUUGCAACCCUUGUUAACAAUAACCAGACUGAUGGAUUUUCUACCGCCGUAAAUUUCAAGUAAAUUUUUUGUUAUGAUGUUCAAUUUUUCUUGUCAUGUGCGGCGGAAACAUAAGUAGGCUGGAUAAAUAGUUUUGUAAUUUUUAUGCCUAAACAUGUUCAAACAAAUUGUUUGUAAUCUAAUGUAUGCAACUUUGAUGCUUAGCUGUUAUGUUAAAUACUGAAUGUACUAUAAAAUUAUAUAUUAGAUAUGAUUUAUAUAUAAAAUUAUAUAUUAUAUAUGAUUUAGUCCCUCUAUUUUAUUUCAUUUUAGAUUCUAAAUUGCUAAAUGCGGAAACUAAAACUUCAUUUUAUAAGUUGUUGGCUUCAGAUUAAACCUAGUUGUUUGUACUGCUGCAAUUAUAAUAUACAGAGAUUUUUUUUUUGUAAGAGUAGUAGAAUUUGGUAUAGACUAAACCCACACGAACACGUUGACGAAUUACGUGCUUCUCGCGAAAAAAAAUCAUAUGGCUCAUAGAGACGGCCCAAAUUCAUAAUUUCUAGGCCGUGAUUUGUAGAGGUUAUUGCAGGAAAAAAAAGAGAGAAAUUUUUAUAUAACAUUAAAUGGGAUCGUUACAUGUAGCUGCAUGCGGAUGUCUUUAUUUGCAUCUGGUGUGAUGGGGAUAUAGGCUGCACCUGGGUGUCUUCUUGCAUCUGGUAUUCUGGUGGAUGGAUGCUUUAGAAGCAUAUACGAACGAUGUGGUGCGCCAUCCAUCAGUCGUUUUGCUGCAAGGAUGCAAUGCAACCCACCUAUGCAAGCAGUACCGCGCUUGCCGCUACAGGAGGGAGUAUUGUAUUGUGGUGGAUACUGUUUGACAGAGGUUUAUCAUCGGAAAAGAAGUGAAUUUGGAUCUAGAAUAUACUUGAAUUCUCCGAAGUGUUUGUUAUAGCUUCCACGCUUCUCUCGGUCUCAGACCUCUACUUGGAGCAAUUGUGAUUAUAACCUUCUCUGAUUAUGUAAUUGUGAUUUUACUCCUCGUUUAUCAAUUUUGUGAUUUUAGCUCACUAUUUUGAAAAUGAAGCCACCGGUUGUCUCUCUCACUAACACCGUUAGUGAAAAUAAAAAUUAAUAAUUAAAAAAUAAAAAUGAAGGAUAAAAUCACAAUUGUAAAAUAAGAGAAGGGUAUAAUUACGAUUAACUCUGAAAUUUUAAACAUUAUUUUAAAAAUUAACUAGGUUGGUGCCCGUGCGUUGCUACGGGAGUAAAAAAUUUGUAUGAAAUAUAGAUACAAAAUGACAUCAUCACUACACUGUGUCCCCUUGGACAGUGCCGUUGGCCAAGACAGGAGCAGGGGCGGCUUCCAUAUCCACAGCGACUCUCAACACAAUAUAACCAAUUAAGCGCACAUAUGGGUACCAAAGAAUAAGUUAAAAAUAUUCUAGCAUGAAAACAUCUAAUGGUAUGUUACAUAUUUAAGAAAUGUAAUCUUCUAUGAACUCUAGUCAAUUUUAUUAUUAAUUUUCUGAGGAAAGUAUGAAAAACAAAAUGCAUAGUAAGUUGGUAAUUAAGAUAAGUACUAAAUAUGUGUUAUAUCUGAAAAAUCUAAGAUCACCAGCCAGGUUCGAGUGAUGGACGCCUGUCAAAACCUUGUAUUCAUUAAGGAAUUCUUGAGAUGCAUUUGUAUCUAUUUUCUUUAUGGCAACUUUCUGGACACACGAAAAGAGAAAAGGAAAAAUUAUUUCACAUCGUAAGCAUAACACAGAUGGAUUACUUCCUUUUAUUUAGUUUAUUUAAGGGGUCAUAGACAUUAGUUGUCUAUUGAACUUUCGAGUGCAUGUGCACCAACUACAUUGCCUAUCCAUGUUACACAGUGAUAAAAGGUUGAGCUGACCUCGCCUCUAAGAUCAGCAGAAUUAGCCAUUAACUAUUAGCUCUAGUGCAUUCAAACACUCUCUAAACAAAGCCAAAAUCGUCAUGCCCAAUUUUAUGGUCCAUACUGAAGUUGUUUAUAGCACCGGAAAGUUCUUCAUAUGAGAACCUCGUGGAUAUGUCAACCUUCAUUCCCUCAGCUUGUGAAACCUUGCGUAUAAAGAUAUUUAAUUGAAAAGCCAUUACAAGUUGAUAAAAAACAUACUAUUGUGUUUGCCAAGAUAACACAUUUUUCGUGAGGAGAAUGUGACAAUUUAUAGGAAGAAAAAAAUAUGUUCCAUACUAAGUUGGACCGAAUCUCUUGGACAUGAGAGUGGUAUGACUUCUCUCAUUUUCUGCCUCCUAAACAGUCAGAUGCCAGCAAUCAAAAUAAACAACACAUGAUAUCACAAUUCCUGCUACUGCUCCUCUAGAAAGGCUAUUUCUUGUUCCACGUAGUAGAAUGUGAGUUAAUUGCCUUUGUUUCUGUCAAUUGAACAAACCAUUUAACUUGGCAGCUCCAUCUACGAUCCUUGCCCUCAGUCUGUAUGCUGUUCCAAUCCUGCUAGCAACCCGAUAAAUUAGUCCCCCAUCAAAUGCACAUCAUGGAGAUCCUAGCUAACCCUAUUAGUGCACAUCAAAACUGCCUCUUUCAACUCUUCUUUGCCAAGUGUUGUCUCCACCAUCACCUGCACAGCAGCAACACAUGUGGAAAGCUGUCCAAAGCGUAGUGUGCAGUCUCUGCUAUACUUGGAUGAAACUACAAACCAAAAGGUGAUGCAAGUGGCAAAGUAACACAUGCCCACACAGGAAAACAGGAAGGCCUGACAUGCUAAAAAAAAUUAUAAAAGGAAAUGAUCAAUUACCUUUACAUCUUUAAGUGACAAAAAUAUGCAGCUAUUAUUAUAGCCCAGAUGAAUAACUUUAGCAUCCACAACCUGAAAACUCAAAAAACAACUAAGAAAUUAUAGCAUUGUGAGCAUUUAGCAGUAUUAAACAAAACACAUUUGUGUGAUAUUCAAAGGCCAAAGAUAAAAUCAAAUAAAUGUGACAAAACCUAUGAGUUUUUAUCUCACAUUGCAUCAACAUACUCGUAUAUAAAAAAAGUAAGAUAUUGUUCUGAAAGGCCAACAACUUAAAAAGGAAGAUGAGAAAUAAAGGGAGGCUCACAACAGCAAACUACCAAAAUUACCUAACUAAUUUUGUAAGAAACUAAUGGAUCUAAGGUGUCAUCCUAGGACACUUCCCACUGCCGAAUCAAUGCAAGUAGCCUUUUCCAAGAACUGGACGUAGAGAAACAAACCAACCAUACUGAUUUGAUGCACAAACAAAGGGUUCGUGGAUAUGCUCACCAAAUGGUGCUGGUGUUUUAUCUAGAUAAUCAAUCCAUGCCCAAGAAGCUAGCUAAAUCUCAACCCUAAAAAAAUUCAGUUCAAAGAAACCCCAUUUAAUAUGAUCCAAUCACCCGAUCCAUUUAAUAAGCAAAAUCAACACAAUACGAAUCACCUCACCGUGAUGCGCGUAGACUCACGUCGCCUUCCAGGAGUAGAUGUGAUCCCCCACGUUGAGGCUCUCCUUCCUAAUCCUAUCCCAAGGAAAAAAUCACACAUAAGAAGGGGAAAUAACUGCCACUACAGAGAUGAGAUUGACCAAUACAGAAGAGUAUAGGAACAAAUACCAGAGAAGGAACGGAUCUGAGGGGACUUGGAUCUCCAGCCCGGGGUCCCAGCUCGACCCACUGCCGACGAAGCCGCGGCGGCUGCCCUCAGGCUCCUCCUUUAGCGCCAUCACCACCGUGGCGCUCCUCGGCCGCCUCGUGACGAGGCCACCUGCCGCCGCUAGCGCUGGCCUCCGACUGCGGCGCCAGCAGGGCUCUAGUGCCGCGUAGCAAGCACCAUGGCCAAAGCCGCCUCGAACAGGAACCGGGAGCACCACCGAGUGGACGCCGACGACAAUCUUCAGCCGGAGCAGCAUGGAUAAACAACACCCUCCCUCCUGGGUGUCUGUCACGUCGUGUAUCUGCUGCCCGCCUCCUCCCUCUGUACUUCUUUGCCUCCUAUGCUAGGGUGUGCGGUGCGGCGAGCGGGCGACCGAGCCGUGCACAUCUUUUUACGUGGUGCGGGUGCAAACCAGAGGGAGGAGGCGGGCGUAUCGUGGCGUGCGGGGUUCGCGGCGGCUGGCGUUCGCGGCGGCGGGCGGGGUUCUAUUGAGCUCGGGGCGGAUAUAGGCAGGCGAGCGAAUUGCAGCGGCGGGAGGUUUUCGACGGCUGGCGGGGUUCGCGGCAGGUCUCGGCAGGCAUAUCGCGGCACGCAUGCGGGCUGUUCGUGGCGGGCGGGCGUUCGCGCCUCGCGGUUGGCGGCGGGCGGGGGUCGCGGUGGGAUCGGGCGAGCCACCGCGGGGGCAGUCUACAGUAGCGUCUUAAUAGUUAGUACAGAUGAAAAAGUUGUUUGCGUGGCUUGGGAUGAAGACUUCGGUGCAACAGUACCUCUGUUCUUGCUCUGUCUUCAACAAGCAAAGCUGAACCGGUCUCUCCUCCAUUGUCUUUUACAGGCCCUUCCCGUACCCGAUUCACCAUGGCAGAUCAUUAAACAACGGACAAUAAGAGCAACAAAAACACCAAGUAUAAAGUAUAAGCUAAUAAGUGCUUAAACCGAGCACAGAAAAAAUCAGGCGAAAGGAACAGCUGGAAAAAAAUCAGUUGACGAGGUGAAGUGAACUAAGAAAACUGAGCAGCCAAACGCCCACAGUGCAUUCGAUCAGUUUCCAACAGAAGUACAGAAAUACCACUACUGUUCCAAUCCAAUCAAGCAACACGACUGCAUAAAGAGCUCAAACAACUUCUAACAGGACACCUCAUAGGCUCAUACGGAGGAAAAGGAGCAAAUACGCGUGUGCAGCCGCGAAACUUCGAAGAACCUACGAGUUCCAGGCAUCAGAUGGCAGCAGCCCCAAGACUCCAGAGCUCAAUCCAACCACGUCAAGAAGAGAUGCAGGACCAAGACGAGCAACAGAAUCGGAGUACCAAAGGAGAAGAAGAGAAAAACGGAGGGAGAAAAGGCCGCCCUCGUGCGGGGGCGGGGCGGGGUGACCUGCGCAGGUGAGGAAGCCGUGGAUCUCGGAGGCGAUGAGCGGGUCCCGCCCGCCGGCGCCACCCACCAUGGUCGCGCUUGCUGCUGCUUCCGCGGCUAGGAAUCCAGAGGUCGGGCGAGCGAGGUUGGCGGGCAGGGUUGGCUGGCGGUGAAUCCGGAGGUCGGGCGAGCGGGGAUGGCUGGCGGUUUGCGCCGGCGCGGAAUCCGGAGGUAGGGCGAGUUGGCGGGGUUUGCGGCGGCGCGGAAUCCGGACGUCGGGCGAGCGGGGGCAGUCUACAUUGAGCUCUUAAUAGUUAGUAGAGAUUGUGAUUAUAUAUUUUUCUUACCUUGCGCAACUGUGAUUUUACCCAUCGCUUUUAUUUUUUAGUUAUUAAUUCUGAUUUACGCUAACGGUGUUAAGAGGGAAGAGCAAACGAUAGCUUCGUUGUCGAAACAGAAAGGUAAAAUCAUAAAGUUGAAAAACCUAAAAUCAGAAUCAGAGAAGGGUAUAAUUCAUAAUUGCCCUAAUAAAAGAAAAGGCUAAUGUGUGUCCUUUCUUUCUGGCAACAAAUUCACGUGCAGAGAGACAACAACUUCCUGAAAGAAACGAUUAUAUAUGUCUUUCAUCAUAUAUAAUGUAUGUACAUCGAUAGAACGACGACGAGCCAAACGAUUCGAUUGAUCUCCGCAAUACUACGUACAAUGCAAUGCAAACUCAUCACCACCAGAUUUCUUGAGCUGAACAAUACAAUGAAGGAUCAUCAUCAGUAGACUUCGACGUUCCAUUGCUCGCUCUUCUUGAGCUGCUUCUUGUAGUCCAACCAGUUGAUCCCUGACGGAUGAUGAUGCGUGAGUAGUAUAUAUGUGUGUGAUUAACCAAACCAAUGCAGCAAGAAAGGUUAGCUACUUGUUCAUAUUGAGCGCAAAAAACGAAGGACAAGCGAGAUGACAGACAACUUACCGUCCUUGGCUGCGAGGUCGAGCAUGAUGUCGUCGAUGCCCUUCUCCAUGCCCUUGAGCCCGCACAUGUAGACGUAGGUGUUGUCCUUCUUGAGCAGCUCCCACAGCUCCUCCUUGUACUCCGCCAUGCGCGUCUGGAUGUACAUCUUCUCCCCGGCCGCGUUCGUCUGCUCCCGGCUCACCGCGAAGUCCAGCCGGAAGUUGUCCGGCGCCAUCUCCUUCAUCUUCUCCAGCUCCUCCUUGUACAGCAGGGUGUCGCUGGUCGGGACGCCCAGGAACAGCCACGCCAGCCCGGUGUACUAUGUAUAUCAUGUUGGAUAUAGAUUCAGUUCAUUAAUUAAUUAGUUCAUUUCAUCAAUUUGUCUGUCUGUCUCUGUUGUUGUUUGAUUAAUUAUUUGAGAGUUUGAGACCUUGUAGUCCUCGUGCUCAAAUCAGGACACUGUAAAAAUAGGAAAACUCAAUAUUAUGACACUGUAACAGAUCAAAAUAAAGCAAGACAUGGAAUCUCAAAUCAGGACACAAUAGUAUAACAGAGAAAGCAAGACUGAGAAAACUCAAUAUCAGGACAUUAUAGUAGAGCAAAGGCAUCCACCACAGAAGUUUGAUUGCCGAAAUAACCAACUAGAUCGAGUAAGGUACCUAGCCUAUCAACUGUUUGUCUUUCGAAGAGUGUGUUUCACAGAAAACAAAUGUUUUGGUUUCACAGUGGGAAUAGCACGGUCAACCUCUCCAGAACGAGGUUGUACGUCUCGCCAUUCUUUUAAAAGAACAACAACCUACAAGGGACAGUAAAACAAGAAUUAGAUCAUGGAUACGCAAUACCAUAUGCCCGUUUUAGUGCAAAAACAUGUGUAAUAAACGUAAUUCGUAUAGCUCCACGCACACUUAUUUAUUAGAUUUCAAUUAUUUGGAACAACUUCAGGACUAAUGGAAGGACUUCAGUGGGUAACCACUACAACAUAAACAUCUACAGGGGAUUCCUAUAGGUGACAGAAGUCUGAUUGUACCGAACUCUUGCAUAUGGCUGAACUGCCUGUCUUUUAGAUUAGUCUCAAUGAUGGUUAUCAAUUUUGGAUUUAGUGUCUUAACUAGCCUAUAAUCCUUUUUUUUGCCUUUUUUGAAAUCUAUUAUAGAUACACCGAUAGGAUUGGAGUCCCUACCAAGGAGACGGCGUAGAUUGUAGGGAUGAGACGUUGUAGGGCAUGGCUAGGUAUGGUUUAAAGAUACCGUGGCUGUUGGCGAGAGAGAGCGAGAGGUGGCACUACAACACCGGUGCUGUAGUACUCGCGAGUGCUGUUCAUGGGAUUAGGUUGCAAGGGCGAGGAGGGAGAAGGGGUGGCGACUAGGGCUCCCGGCUCCCGGAGGGAAGUCGUCGACAAAUAUGUGCUUUUGCUUCAUUUCAAAUAGAGUUGUACAGAGUUGUUUAAUAGUCCAUCCUCUCAUCUUAUCUUAUCUUAUCUAACAAACUCCUAUCUAAUAGCUUAUUAUCUUAUAUGUAUCUAACUCCUAUCUAAUAGCUUCUAAGAUUGGCUCCAACAGGGCAGCUAUUUGGCAAUACAAAGCUAAUUUACCUAGUCAUUUAGUACUGUAGCGGCUCCAAUAGCCCAACUAUCCAGCCCAGCCAAAUUACAUGGGAGGAGAGAGAACCGAUAAAUUAGCUAGCCUAGGCACGCCAGCCAUUCCUUUUGGAAGCAACCGUCAGCUCGAACCACGCGAGGGAAUCGACGGGCAGCGGCCAGGUGAUUUGGCGAGAAAGCUAAUUGGGCCAACAGCCACAACCAUUUUAGCUGCUUUGUUGUAAACAACAAGUCUGUCAUGGACCAUGUAAAAUACAAGAAUGGAAAUGACCGGGCAAUAUGGCUGCUCACUGUUGGAGUUAUCUAUAAUUUGGCGCUGAUGCCGGUCAUAACAUACAUAUAUUUUCAUGCCAUCAACUGUCCGCUGACCUUUUUUUUUUUGCUCCAGGUCCAGUGAGGAUGGUAAUAUAUGUUCUGGACAUAUCCGCUAAGUUUGCGAAGUUGUUAACUAUUACAGCAACGGCUUUAUAUUAUUGUGCCGUGUGUUAUUUGUGCUUUAUUUCUUUAUAUCGUAACAAGAGAUAAUAUUGUGCUAUUUAUAGCUUUGGUUAAGCUUCUAGCGAAUGAUACUUG
rnacentral:lncRNA from 1 species